ensembl:lncRNA
GAACACAGAGCUCAGAGAAAUCUGUACCAAGAUCUGUAGGACUUGUGUUAGCAAGUUGUGAUCAUGCAUUCCACUAAGGAAAUGAACAAGAAUGGCCUUGACCAUUCACUACAUUUCAGCAAGCACCUAGAGAUGCUUUGCAGAAGUCAACAAUUUUGGCCAUCGCAAGGAAUGUUGCCAGCCUCCCAGACAAACAUGGCCAUUCUGUCAUAUCCAAAGAAGGGAGAUUUCAGGUUUUAUAUCAGUUUCACACUGAUUGCAAGGUAUGGGAAGGCCUAGGGUCACGACACAGACAAGGGGCUGACAACAGGAGAUGAUGAAGGACAGGGCUGCAGGUAAGUCUGUAAAUAAGCCUGAGGUCCACCCAGGAGGCAAAGACAAGAGCAUGUAGCUCUGUUGUGAGGUAAAAUGGAGACCCUGAGCCCAAGGGAAGAGGGUUUAUGAGUUGGGGAUUCCAGAUGUGGCUACUUGGGGGAAUUAAGGCCCAUUGGUACCAUCCAGAAUCUGACACAGAAACAUCCGUCAAGUCCAAUCCUCCUGGGUUAUGGGCAACGCUCUUUCCUUGGUAUAUUAGUUGACCUCUGUCUCUCACAUAGUGUGCCUGAGCAUGUCUGCAGUGCAAACCUCAGUGACGGCUACACUGCAGAUAGAGUGCUGUCCAACUCCUUCAUUGCUCCGGAAGAUGCAAAAGCAUGGGGUGGAUGUUCUGUGCACUGAGCCCCAUUAGCUGGUUCAUGGAUGAAAGCUUCUGGAAGUCCACUGCUUGCCUCCAUCUGUCAUUUAUCUGCAUUCCUCCCACGGAGCCAGCAGAGUUUAUUUUUUUUAACCUACUGUUGGAUAAUAAGACAGAUGUCCACACUGGGUCUCGUUUUGAAUAGAUCUAAACUAAAAACAAAUGUAUUUAGAGGGGAUGAAUAAAUGUGUGUGUUUUUCCUGUUCCAGAACGUCUGACUAAUGCAAGAAAGAAUGGCUGGAUCCCAUUUUAUUUUUUGAGGGAGCUACCUUAGAGAUGGGAAAGUGAAGUACCCAUUGAAGUACCAACUGAAGUAAAGGGAUAUUCAGAGUAAGAAGUGACUUUUGUGAUGUUUCCAUAGGGCAAAGUAAAAUGUGAGACGAUAUUGAUGAAAAUGUGCAAAAUGCAAGAGAAGUGGUGUUUUCCUGCUGCCUCCCAGCUAGGUCUUCUGGGAUGGGCUGAAGUCACCCAGCACAGAGGUGAAGUGUUUGGAUGGGGAACAGGGCACCACUUUGAUGGAAGCUAAGUUACUUACAGAGGGAGGACAUGUUGUCAGAUUCCUUUCAAAGCCCAAGGUAGCAUUGCUAAGGUGGAGAUCAACUCUUGAACAGAGAUCAGAACCACCUAGGAUCAGGGAAAAACAAAAAGAAGAAAACAAGCAGGGGUGACGUGAAGUAGGAGAGGAAGGC